UGCUCAGGAUGAACGCUGGCGGUAUGCUUAACACAUGCAAGUCUAACGGUUAGUUUGGCCGUGGCGGACGGGUGAGUAAUAUGUAAGAAUCUGCGUUUAGGUGGGGGAUAAUGUACGGAAGCGUUCAGUAAUACCCCAUAAUGCUAUUAAGUUAAAGAAUUUCGCCUGGACAUGAGCUUACAUCUGAUUAGCUAGUUGGUGGGGUAAGGGCUUACCAAGGCGAUGAUCAGUAGUUGAUUUGAGAGGAUGAUCAACCACACUGGGACUGAGAUACGGAACAGACUCCUACGGGAGGCAGCAGUGGGGAAUAUUGCACAAUGAGCGAGGAGCUUGAUGCAGCAAUACCGCGUGGGGGAUGAAGGUUUUAGAAUUGUAAACUCCUUUUCUCAAAGAAGAAUGUUUGACUGUAUUUGAGGAAUAAGCAUCGGCCAAUUCUGUGCCAGCAGCCGCGGUAAUACAGGAGAUGCGAGCGUUAUUCGGAAUUAUUGGGCGUAAAGGGUGCGUAGGUGGUUAAACAUGUUCAAUAUUAAAUUUUAAAGCUUAACUUUAAGUUCGUAUUGAAAACUGUUUGGCUAGAGUACAAUAGAGGUAAAGGGAAUUUCCAGUGUAGCGGUGAAAUGCGUAGAUAUUGGAAAGAACACCGGUGGCGAAGGCGCUUUACUAGGUUGCUACUGACGCUGAGGCACGAAAGCUAGGGGAGCGAAUAGGAUUAGAUACCCUCGUAGUCUUAGCUGUAAACGAUGGAUACUAAGUGGUGUUGUUGCACUGCUAAAGUUAACGCGUUAAGUAUCCCGCCUGGGGAGUACGCUUGCAAAAGUGAAACUCAAAGGAAUUGACGGGGGCUCGCACAAGCGGUGGAGCAUGCGGUUUAAUUCGAUGGUACCCGAAGAAUCUUACCAGAAUUUGACAUGCCAAUAUACUUCUGAAUGGGAGUGUGCUUUUAAUUAAGAUGUUGGACACAGGUGGUGCAUGGCUGUCAAAAGUUCGUGUAGUGAUAUAUCUAGUUAAGUCUAGUAACGGACGCAACCCUCUUUUUUAGUUGUUUUUUUAAUAUCUAGAAAUACUGCCGGUUAUAAAUCGGAGGAAGGUGAGGAUGAGGUCAAGUCAUCAUGCCCCUUAUAUUCUGGGCUACACGCGUGCUACAAUGAUUAAGACAACGAGUUGCCACUUUGUGAGAAGGAGCUAAUCUCUUAAACUUAGUCUUAGUUCGGAUGGUAGGCUGAAACUCGCCUACCUCAAGUUGGAAUCGCUAGUAAUCGUCGAUCAGCUAUGCGGCGGUGAAUUCGUUCUCGAGCCUUGUCCACACCGCCCGUCACACCAUGGAAGUUGGCUAUGCCUGACGGCAAACUCUUAUUUUUAGAAUUGUCUAUGGCCGGGUUAAUAACUGGGGUGAAGUCGUAACAAGGUAGCCGUCU
rnacentral:rRNA from 1 species